UAUUCCCCACUGCUGCCUCCCGUAGGAGUCUGGGCCGUGUUCCAGUCCCAGUGUGGCCGAUCACCCUCUCAGGCCGGCUACUCAUCACAGGCUUGGUAGGCCGUUACCCCACCAACUACCUAAUGAGACGCGGACUCAUCCAUAGACGAUAGCUUAUAAAUAGAGGCCACCUUUACCCUAAAUCCUUAAUCUAGAGAUUAUCCGGUAUUAGCGCCCGUUUCCAGACGUUAUCCCAAACCUAUGGGUAGAUUAUCCACGUGUUACUCACCCGUGCGCCGCUCUACUCAUUCCCGAAGAAAUUUUCGCGCUCGACUUGCAUGUGUUAGGCACGCCGCCAGCGUUCAUCCUGAGCCAA
rnacentral:rRNA from 1 species